UCUUGCUAUAAAUAUUUAGACUGGCAUUAAAAACCCAAAGGAGAAUUUCUCUCUCUUCGUCCAGAGAACAUUAGCUACUCAAACAAAACACCCUCUCGCUUUCUUUCUUGCUCUGUGUUUGGGAUUGCUUAAUUUUGGAAUUAGGUUGAUUGAACCUUUGACUGGACUCAGAGCAGCUCUUCUUAUGUUUUAAUGUAAUGGGAUGGUGAAAUGUCUAUUAGCAUGCAAUAAGCAACAGAGCAGAAAAAAGCUGUGAUCUAAUCGGCCAGCAGACAGGUGCACAGAGAAAAUCGGUGAUGUCAGACAACUGCUGAGAUUCAUACACUGAUCCUAUUACAGUUCGGGUGAAGAUGAACAAAUGUGGAUAAGGAAAAAGGAUUGUUCAAGGCAGAGACCUCACUGAGCUUCUGUUAUGUGAAUUGCCUUGAUGACUACCAAUCCCACAGUUUUCAAGUAAGAGAUCAUCCCUUUCCCCAAAUUUACAGCCUGAAUAGACACAGGGAUAAGAAAAUAAUAUUCCUUAUUAUGGUCUCUAUAUAACUGCGAGAGGGAAAAAGAACCUCAGGAUUAACAUUCCUCAUUGCAAAUGGAGAUAAUUACAGGGAUCAUAAUUAAUCAGAUGUUGUGAGUUGGAGAGGAUGGGAAGAUGUCCCAAGCAGCAAUGGUGGCUGGCUGGGGUGACAAACUUCAGCCCAGGCUGGGAGAGCAGCCAGCACUGCCUGGGAUGCUGCAAGCCCUGGAAGCAUGGAGUUUGGUCAGUGGGCCUUGGCAACGCUGAUAGCACCACCAGGAGACCUAACUCCAUGUGUGAUGUCUGGGAUAGACCUAUGAAGAAACUACUUCCCCACACCAAGCACCCAGUUUUGGAUGGAUCCUGACACUCCCCACUGGAGCAGCCUC